CCUACGGGUGGCAGCAGUGGGGGAUAUUGGACAAUGGGGGGAACCCUGAUCCAGCGACGCCGCGUGAGUGAAGAAGUAUUUCGGUAUGUAAAGCUCUGUCAGCAGGGAAGAAAGCAAUGACGGUACCUGACCAAGAAGCCCCGGCUAACUACGUGCCAGCAGCCGCGUCAAUACGUAGGGGGCAAGCGUGAUCCGGAAUUACUGGGUGUAAAGGGAGCGUAGACGGCUGUGCAAGUCGGUGGUGAAAGGUGGGGGCCCAACCCCGGACAGCUCUGGAAACGGUAUGGCUGGAGUGCAGGAGAGGGAAGCGGAAUUCCUAGUGUAGCGGUGAAAUGCGUAGAUAUUAGGAGGAACACCAGUGGCGAAGGCGGCUUACUGGACUGUAACUGACGUUGAGGCUCGAAAGCGUGGGGAGCAAACAGGAUUAGAUACCCGAGUAGUC
rnacentral:rRNA from 1 species